rnacentral:rRNA from 1 species
UACGUAGGGGGCAAGCGUUGUCCGGAGUUACUGGGCGUAAAGCGCACGCAGGCGGUCUUUUAAGUUUGGAGUGACAGUUGGUGGCUUAACUGCCAAAGUGCUUCGAAAACUGAAAGACUUGAGGGCUUCAGAGGGACACGGAAUUCCGGGUGGAGUGGUGAAAUGCGUAGAUAUCAUUUGGAACGCCAAUGGUGAAAACAGGUAGCUGGGGAUGUGCUGACGCUGAGACACGAAAGCCAGGGGAGCAAACGGG